UGAGGCUGCCUCACGCUGUUCCAGGCUCUUGUGUAUCUUCUAGCGGAGCCACUGUGUUCACGGCUUAGAGGACCAGGAGAAGGGGCGGCAGAGCCACCUACUGCACGCUGGAGGCUGCAGCCUGCUGUACCGCGGCUGGCCUCGCUGCAGUGGGUGGUGGUGACGGAAACUGCAGCGGCUGGAGCGGUACCUGGCCAAUGACGUGGAGGAGGUUGAUGAGGCCCCCAAACAAGCCAUCUUCCACUUCCUGUAUGGGAAGAACCGCUUCCAGUGACCCUUGUUCCAGAAGCUUCGGUUCCAGUUCUUCUGUUCCAUGCACUGGAGAGCUUGUCCCAGAGGAGUUGGAGAAGAUCCAGGCUUAUGACCCAGAGAACUGGGUGUGGGUAUGAGACCACGCCCUCCUUUCCUAGAGCUCCAGGGACCAUGGAGGCCUGAGGUCAUCAGCCUGAGGGAAGAACACUGGACCCAGGGAAGAUGUGGAUUUUCAGCAGGAAGUUUAUUCCAAUGUUAAUGGCAGACACCAGGAAGGAAGAGAGGAACCAUUUGUGCAGAUCAUCUGGAAGAACCUAGAAGAACCUGGACUGUUCUAGAAGGAGCCGAAUAGAGUGAUUAUGCUGCCCUCCUAGGAGUGGUGGGUAGGGGGUACUUCUGGGCAUCCUUGGAGGACAGUGAGAAACCAGCGGUGUUUCUUGUUCCACCCCUUCCUGCAGCACCACCUCCCUUUUUAGAUUGCUGAAUUCAACCUCCCUGGGGUGGAACCUGGAGGUCCUGCUUCCUAUGGACUUGGUUGCCACAGUCCGGGAGCAUUUGAAGGCACAGUGCAGGUGCUCAGAUUGGCACAGAAUUAUUUGUAAAAUAUGAGUGCCACAUAGCUUCAUGCAUACUAUGCAUUUUGUUGGUUUGUUUGGAAAACGUCGGCCAUUGAAUUAUUAGUACAUUUAUUUCAGAUAGUUUGGAAAUUUUUAUACUUUUGAAGACAUGCUGCUCCUGUAGAGAUUUUUGAUGACAGUUAUAGCUGUUACAUAUACAUAAAUAUAAUUUUCUUUCCAUUUUUAAGAAGGUAUUUUGUUUAUCCUAAAUCUUUUAUUAUCUGUUAUUAUAUGUGCUCCUGAAGUGAACACUCUUUUUAUCUAUGAUGCUUAUGUAAUCUAUUAUAUCAUAUCUAUGUGGUAGUUCUCGUAAAUUCUUGUACUAGGAAUUUUUAUUUGCUGUUUCAUGUUUGUUACUGAAUUGUGAGAAUCCAGUUGUGAUUUUUAACAUAUCUUAGGUAUAUGUUAAUAGGUCUAAUAUAUACUAUACAUUUUAUUGGUUUAUUUUGAAAAAGGUGGGCAUAGAAUUCUUUUUUUUUUUUUUUUUUUACCCAAGCUGGAGUGCAAUGGUGCGAUCUCGGCUCACUGCAACCUCCACCUCCUGGGUUCAGGCAAUUCUCCUGCCUCAGCCUCCCGAGUAGCCGGGAUUACAGGCACACGCCACCAUGCCCAGCUAAUUUUUUGUAUUUUUAGUAGAGAUGGGGUUUCACCAUGUUGACCAGGAUGGUCUCGAUCUCCUGACCUCGUGAUCCACCCACCUCGGCCUCCCAAAGUGCUGGGAUUAUAGGCUUGAGCCACUGCACCCAGCCCCUAGAAUUCUUACUGUAUUUAUUUUAAAUAGUUUGGAAAUCCUGGUAUUUUGAAAAGACAUUGUUCCUAUAGAGUUGUGUGAUGAGUGUUAUAGCUGUUAUAUACACAUAAAUAUAAUUUUGUUUUUCUUUUAAGAGAGGAUUAUGUUUAUCCUAAGUAUUUUAUCUUUAAAUCUUUGUAUGUAUUAUUACAUGUGGGGUGAAGGGAUGACACUUUUUUUCUCUGAUACUUACUUAGUAUAUUACCUUUAUAGCUACAUGGUAGUUCCCCUAAAUUCCUGUAAAAAUAAAUUUUUAUUUGAUGUUAAGUGUAUGUUUUUGAAAUGUGAGAAUUCAGACAUGAUUUUUUACCUCAUAUUGACAUGUUUGUAUGUUAAAGAGGAUGUAUGUUUUAAAGGAGGACAUGCACUGUGUGUUUUCAAGAGAACAGAGCAGUGCAUGUAUUGGGGAAAUGUAAUAAAGAUGAAGUUUUUUCACCUUUAUAGAGUGCAAUCAUCUUGCUCUGGAUUGCUUAUUUCCUAUCAAGUGACAUUUUUCCUUAAUGUUAUUUGGAAAAAUGUCCAAAUAUUUGGUUAUUUGAACAUAUUUAUUAGCUCUGGAA